AAUGAACGCUGGCGGCGUGGUUAAGACAUGCAAGUCGAACGGUUUUUGUUGUGUAGCAAUACAUAACAAAAGACAGUGGCGAACGGGUGCGUAACACGUGAACAAUCUACCUUCAAAUGGGGAAUAGCUCGCCGAAAGGCGAAUUAAUACCGCAUGUGGUUGCCUCUCGCAUGAGAAGCAUACCAAAGUCAGGGACCGCAAGGCCUGACGUUAGAAGAGGAGUUCGCGGCCUACAGCUAGUUGGCGAGGUAACGGCUCACCAAGGCUAAGACGGGUAGCUGGUCUGAGAGGAUGAUCA
rnacentral:rRNA from 1 species